GGAAUCCGUAUGGUUGGGACAAGGUAUUUUAAUUCAAUGAACUUAAGUUAACUUUAGUGCUUAGCAUUGAAACAUGGUUAGCCUUCGGGUUUUGGCUGCAGAUUGUAUAGUUAGUGAUCUGCCUGUUUCCAUCAUUAGAUGUGCAUAUUUUAGUCUAUGUCUAAUAGGAAGUAACACUGAGUUUAUAGUGGUUAUUAGAAAUUAGAAGCACACCUAGGCUUGCUUCUAACUCAAAGCCGCAGGGGCAGAAUUCAUUUUUCUAUCAGAGGAAAGCUUAUUCGAUGAAGCCAUGCCUAAGUGCAUAACUUGCCUAUGUUGGUCAAGCUCAAGACAAUGAAAGCAUGCUUUUCUAUUUUGUUUUAAUAUCUACAUGUUUUAAUAUAUUGAACCACUCAAGUCAGCUUCCGCCUAAUAGUAGUUUUUUCAUUAUUAAUAUUCACUUACUCUGGUAUAUUUUCGUUUGAGCUCACAGUUGCACUUUGCUCCUACCUCUUGCGCUAAUAACCAAGUUAAUUACCAUGUUUAUCUUUUUAACCCCUUUGAAAUGAUAGGAUUUUUCUAUUGAAAAAGCCUACGUUGUUCUUUGUGUUUGUUGUCUAGGCUCAAAUUGAUCUUUCAUCUUUGUCAUACUUGAAUUAUACUUGAGCCCAUGUUUUUUCUCAUUGCAUCAAAUUGCACCCUUUUCUUAAUUUUUAUAUGAGCAGUUAAGUAAUACUAGGAUUCCUGUUUAGGAAAGUCAAUUGCACCUGAUUAUUUUUUGUCCUUCUCUAAUAUGACUGAAUUAUAUGAGCUAUUAAAGUAUAUUUGAUGGUUUGUGAAUGUUGUAAAUAUUUCAUCCAACAUAAUUAUUAAGGGAAUAAAAAUAAAGUUUAUAGUUUGAGUGAAGAAUUUGGAUCCUGUUAAAUUAUAAAGCAUACUUGCUAACACUUGCUUGAAAAUGCAUGGUAAAAUUCUAUUGAGCAUCCUCUUUUAUCCGGCAAACAUGCUGUCAUUAAUUAAAUGGUGAAGUUCUUAUAAACAUCUGUUUUAAUGUUAAAGGGUGUCCAAGUGUAUUAGGCUUUCUGUACUGUGGAUUCUGGGGAGAUUCAGAUGUAUGUAGUCUAUUUUUACAGUGAAAGGUGACAGUUUUUGUGUUUUAAAUCACAGUGGAACAACUUUACCAUUGCAUCAAGGCUCGCCCUCAUACAAUUUUCACAUGCAUUAGUAAUUUUUUUAGAGAACAAUAUACAUUUCAAGUUGUUGGGCCUUUAACUGUUAAUUUAGCUCCUCAGUGAAUUUUUGUAUGUCUGUGCAGACUUCCAAAGCUUUUUCCUUUUAAUUUUCCUUCCUUAUAUGUUACUGUAAAGUUGUGUAUGACUGUCUCAGACCAUUUUUGUUCUAUAUUCAUCAGAAUUUGGUGUGUACUUCAUAUAGGAUGCUUAAGUGUGGUAUAUUGUAUUAGAUGCUUGUUAUUACUUAUGUAUUAUAUUGAUAUGCAUCACUUCAAUUGGUUGCUUGGUGUUGUGGUUUUACCAUGAAGUUGUUGUACUGAAGAUCAAAAUAAUGAAUGAAAUGAUGUGUCCUAGGGCUCUAAACUAGAAAUGUUCCAAAGCUCUAAACUAGAAAUGUUCCAAA
rnacentral:misc_RNA from 1 species